GUUUGUUUGUUUGUUUAUGCUCUAUAUCACCCAGGGACCCUGGAUGACAAAGCAGUCACCUACUUGAACACUGCUAAUUAUGAUGUCAGAAAGAGGAGAGUUUGCAGAGUUUUGUAUUGGCAAUCAAACAUUCAGCCACAGGUCACAGUCUAGAACCAGACACAUCAGUGUCCUCAACUGCAAAGUAGCCAGGAAGCAGCAUCCCAUAACACAGUCCUAUGUCCACUGUUUUGGAGUUACUCAAGACCUAAGUGUUUUCUUGGAACUGUGUUUGUUACUGAGGAAGCCACAAGUUAAAUAUAAGUCUGCUCUUCAAGAGGUUACAUUCCAGUUAAGGAGAUCGCAUAUCCAUACUUCCAGAAGUACCAAUGUGAUUGAAGCAAGGGAAAUUGCUAUGGGAUAUCUGGCCAACUGGAUAUUCUGCUGGAAGAGCAGAAUGCACUUCAAAGACUAGCCAAUAAAAUUCUCAUGUAAGAUAUGUUUUUCUUUUUGUUUCUAUUUAACUAAUGAAUAGAACCUCAGUGAUUUAAGGAAAGGCAGGCCCAUGAUAUGGAAAGAGAAGGGGAUGAUGAUGAUAUUCUGGAAUGGUCGUGCAAGGCUUCAGGAGGAAGUGAGAGUGAUGAUUAAAUCAUAUAACUCCUGAAUAAAUAUCUGGAAUAAACAUCUCCAGAAUAAAACAUCUGGAGGAUUCUCAGUAUACUUAGAAUAAAAUUGAGCCUCCUCAUGAAGGCCUACUAGCACCUUCAUGAUCAAACCCCUUUUCAACUUUGACCUUCUUUCUUAUUUUAGGGGCUCUUGACACACUGACCUGUCAGUUCCUUCAGCACACCAGGCUAAUCCCCAGUCUUGUGCCUUUGGACCAGAGGUUUUCUUUGCUCAGAAUACUGUUUCAACAGAUCUUUGCAUAGCUGGCUCUCACUAUUUGACUAAAAUGUCAAUCCUCAGAGAGGUACUCCUUAAAUAUCCAAUCUUAAGUAGCAUCCCUUUCUCCCAGGAUCCUGUUUUUCAGAACUCUGUUUUCUUUUCAAAACACUUGUUAUCUGAAAGGAUGUUGUCUGCUUGCUCGUUUGUUCAUUUCUUUAUUGUCUAUUCCAUCUCACCCCUUCUCAGGAUGUAAGCUGUUUAAAGGCAAGGACCUUAUCUGUGUUACAUGCUGUAUUCCCAGGGCUCAGACAGAGCAUGACCUAUCCAUUCUGCAGUGAAAAGGACAUGGACCUUGGAAUUAAGUUUGAGAUUGAACUCAAGAUCCACCUCAACCUACCAACAUAUAUUCGGCAUGUUACCCACUUCUCUGAACCUUGCUUUCCUUCUUUGUACAGAUGGAGGAAAGUCACGACUAACCAUUCUGUUGUGAAAGAUUAAAUAAGAUGGUGCAUAUGA